GAAAUUGAAAUCGCUGUGAAGAUGCAGUGUACCCGCGGCUAGACGGAAAGACCCCGUGAACCUUUACUACAGCUUGGCACUGAACAUUGACCCUACAUGUGUAGGAUAGGUGGGAGGCUUUGAAGCACGUACGCCAGUAUGUGUGGAGCCGUCCUUGAAAUACCACCCUUGUAGUGUUGAUGUUCUAACGUCGACCCCUUAUCGGGGUUACGGACAGUGCCUGGUGGGUAGUUUGACUGGGGCGGUCUCCUCCCAAAGAGUAACGGAGGAGCACGAAGGUGGGCUAAUCACGGUUGGACAUCGUGAGGUUAGUGCAAUGGCAUAAGCCCGCUUGACUGCGAGAAUGACAAUUCGAGCAGGUGCGAAAGCAGGUCAUAGUGAUCCGGUGGUUCUGAAUGGAAGGGCCAUCGCUCAACGGAUAAAAGGUACUCCGGGGAUAACAGGCUGAUACCGCCCAAGAGUUCAUAUCGACGGCGGUGUUUGGCACCUCGAUGUCGGCUCAUCACAUCCUGGGGCUGAAGUCGGUCCCAAGGGUAUGGCUGUUCGCCAUUUAAAGUGGUACGCGAGCUGGGUUUAGAACGUCGUGAGACAGUUCGGUCCCUAUCUGCCGUGGGCGUUGGAAGAUUGAAGGGGGCUGCUCCUAGUACGAGAGGACCGGAGUGGACGAACCUCUGGUGUUCGGGUUGUGUCGCCAGACGCAUUGCCCGGUAGCUAAGUUCGGAAUCGAUAACCGCUGAAAGCAUCUAAGCGGGAAGCGAGCCCUGAGAUGAGUCUUCCCUGAUACUUUAAGUAUCCUAAAGGGUUGUCGGAGACUACGACGUUGAUAGGUCAGGUGUGUAAGUGCUGUGAGGCAUUGAGCUAACUGAUACUAAUUGCCCGUGAGGCUUAACCAUACAACACCCAAGGGGUUU
rnacentral:rRNA from 1 species